AUUUGUCGAAACCACAUAAUGGACGCGUGCAUCGAAUGCCAAGCGAAUCAGUCUUCGGCGAGUGGUGAAGAAUGUAACGUUGCAUGGGGCGUUUGCAAUCACGCAUUUCACCAUCAUUGUAAGUACUUGUGUUCUUGGGGAGUUUUAUACUUGGGUGAAUCGCUGUGAUAUCGUCUUUUAUCAAUGUCGAACUUACGGAACUUUGAUUCGUGUGGCUCAUGUUGCGAACUUGGUUAUUGUUUGCAGGCAUCAGUCGAUGGCUAAAGACAAGAAAUGUAUGUCCUCUCGACAAUUCGGCGUGGGAGUUUCAGAAGUACGGACGCUAGUUCCACAGUUGUGGCGCAGUUGUUACUGGUUGAUGCCGGUAUUGUUGAGGUCAUGACAUCAUUUGUUAAUGCAGUUUCUUGAUGUCUGCGAGCAUUUUUAGUUUAAUGGAUUGGUUUUGGUAAUGAUCUGCAGUUCCUCUGAUUAUCGAAACGUAGCAGAACUUCGUGUUUUUUUUUUCCCUCUAUGCUUAGCAAAUAGAUGUGCUUGCGAAUUUUUCGGGUCUUGUUUCAGCGGAAUUACGUUUGCAUCGUAGGUAACGCUCGGGAAAGUUGCAUAUCCAUAUACAACGAAACCUCCAUUCCGAAAGAUGGUUACUCGAUGUAUUUUGAGCGAUCGAGCGCGGCCCUACACAAGCGCCAACGCAGAAGUAACGUGCUGUGUCUUGAACUCAUAUGUGUCACAAUGCUGCGGUGUUUGUCAUCAUCUACUCAUUCAGUACCUGUACAAAAUUAAAAGUCACUAAUUCAGCGAAAUUCAGACUAAAUAUGUUUUGUGGACAUUCUUGCCGAGUGAACGAACGGAGCGUUUGUCAAGCGCGAUCCCUUGCUGUUAGAUUUAAUGUGGUUCAGGUCAUUCUAAAUUCGCGUUCUGAUUCGCAAUGCUCGACUGGACCGAGUAAAGCUCGGCAACCUGCUCCGCACUAGUAGCCUCCUCAGGGCCUUUAUCAUCUCGGACGCGGACAAAGCGCGGGAACCGCAGGGCAAUGCCUUUCGAACGGGUGAGGACGCUGGCGAAAUGACGCAAUACGACCCGUCUUGAAACACGGACCAAGGAGUCUAGCACGGCUGCGAGUCGAAGGGUGUGAAAAACCCAAUGGGCGCAGUGAAAGCGAAAACGUUGUUCUACGGGGCAUCGGCAAAGCAAAUUGGGGAGGCGUUGCGGUUCUACCAAAAUGUCCUACCUUGAGCAGGUGUGCUGGGACCCGAAAGAUGGUGAACUAUGCCGGAGUAGGGCAAAGCCAGAGGAAACUCUGGUGGAGGCUCGUAGCGAUGCUGACGUGCAAAUCGCUCGUCGAACUUGGGUAUAGGGGCGAAAGACUAAUCGAACCAUCUAGUAGCUGGUUCCCUCCGAAGUUUCUCUCAGGAUAGCGGGCCGACAAAAACAAUGAAUGAAUGUUGUUCUGUGUGGUAAAGCGAAUGAUUAGUGCAUUUGGGGGCCGAAGGCCUUCGGGCGAUUCUCAAACUUUAAAUGCGCAGGGGGGCGGCUGCUUAAUAUGAGCCUGCUCUUUGAAAAACGUCGGCUCCGUGGGCCACUUUUGGUAAGCAGAACUGGCGAUAAGGGAUGAACCUUAAGCGCGGUUAAGGCGCCACAUUGCCCGCUUAUAGAGCCCACAAAAGGUGUUGAUUCAUUUAGACAGCAGGACGGUGGCCAUGGAAGUCGGAAUCCGCUAAGGAGUGUGUAACAACUCACCUGCCGAAUGAAUUAGCCCUGAAAAUGGAUGGCGCUGAAGCGGGCAGCCGACACCGCGCCGUUCGGACAAACGUAUGAAAAUAGGAAUCUUUUUUGGUCCGAAUGAGUAGGAGGGCGUGGCGGUCUGUGACGCAGGCGUGGGUGCAAACCCCGCUGAAACGGCCGCUAGUGCAGAUCUUGGUGGUAGUAGCAAAUAUUCAAGCGAGAACCUUGAAGGGCGAAGUGGGGAAGGGUUCCAUGCUAACAUUGAUUGGGCGUGGGUGAGUCGUUCCUAAGCCGAGUGGCAAUUGCUAAGUAACGGCGAAAGGGAAGCGGGUUAAAAUUCCCGCACGCAGAUAUGGAGGCGGCAACGCAAGCAGAGGCGAAGACGCUGGCGAAGGCGCUGGGCAGAGUUUUCUUUUCUGUUUGACCGGCAUCGUGCUGUGUGGAAUCCGAUUAUCGGGAGAAACACGCACGGGUAGGGGCAGAGCGUCGGGUCAUAUCCGGCGUCCGGCUCGCCUUCGACGGCCCUUGAAAAUUCGCCCGCGGUUUUUGGGCUCAUUCUCUUUUGUUCCCCCGCUUGGAAUCCGUUUUAAUCGGGGGGCCAUCGUUUCUGGGCCUGAAUAUUCAAUUUCAUGCUGCGACGUACCGAUAACCGCAUCAGGUCCCCAAGGUGAACAGCCUCUGCUCAAUAUGAAUAAUGCAGGUAAGGGAAGUCGGCAAAAUGGACCCGUAACUUUGGGAAAAGGGUUGGCUCUAGUGAGGUGGGGGUCACUUGGCGUUU
rnacentral:rRNA from 1 species